GUAACUGUGUGGCGUGACGAGUCUUUCAUUGAUCAAAUGAUCCUGUAGGUGGAUCUCCAGGGUGAGGAUCAGCCAUUGCACUGUGGCGAUCUGACCUCUGUGAAUUCUCCACAUGGGAGAAUCUCAGCUGCACAAUUUAUGGUAGUUGGGGACGACUGCAG